rnacentral:rRNA from 1 species
CCUACGGGAGGCAGCAGUGGGGAAUAUUGGGCAAUGGAGGCAACUCUGACCCAGCAACGCCGCGUGAAUGAUGAAGGUCUUCGGAUUGUAAAGUUCUGUUAUGGGGGAUGAACACAAUGACGGUACCCCAAUAGCAAGCCACGUCUAACUACGUGCCAGCAGCCGCGGUAAUACGUAGGUGGCAAGCGUUAUCCGGAUUGACUGGGCGUAAAGGGUGCGUAGGUGGUUUAGUAAGUUGGCGGUGUAAUUCCGGGGCUCAACCUUGGCGCUACCGCCAAAACUAGUAGACUAGAGUGCAGGGGAGGUAAGUGGAAGUCCUAGUGUAGCGGUGGAAUGCGUAGAUAUUAGGAAGAACAUCAGGGGCGAAGGCGACUUACUGGACUGUCACUGACACUGAGGCACGAAAGCGUGGGGAGCAAACAGGAUUAGAUACCCGUGUAGUC